rnacentral:rRNA from 1 species
UACAGAGGUCUCAAGCGUUGUUCGGAUUCAUUGGGCGUAAAGGGUGUGUAGGUGGCGCGCUAAGUCGGGUGUGAAAUUUCGGAGCUUAACUCCGAAACUGCAUUCGAUACUGGCGUGCUUGAGGACUGGAGAGGAGACUGGAAUUCAUGGUGUAGCAGUGAAAUGCGUAGAGAUCAUGAGGAAGACCAGUGGCGAAGGCGGGUCUCUGGACAGUUCCUGACACUGAGGCGCGAAGGCCAGGGGAGCAAACGGG